GACCCGUGCCUCCCCCGCACCUCACCAUUAGUUUCUCCUUAUCUCCCCCAAAAUGACGCCACCCUCUCUUCAUUUCGUCGAAUCCGUUUCACCUUCUCCACCCGACGGCGCCACUCUUCUCCGCGAACAAAACCAGAGGACGAGGGGAAUCCGAGCACUACUCUCCAUUUCCUCUUCCCUAUCUUUGCUUCCCGUGUCUGCUGGCCUCGCCACCGCCGCCAGAUUCGGCCAAUUUCCUGAACCCUAGGUUGGGUUCACAACCGGCUGAUUUCCUCCUCACUAGGCCCGCGACGCUGCCCCUUCUCCUUUGCCCUAGCUGCUGCAGUGAGGGAGGAGCCGACCGAUUUUCACCUCUCCUUCUUGCUUCGCCCGGUCGCCACAGCCGACCGCCACUGUGCACCUCCGACUACUGUCACCGACCACUAGGUCCGACCCGCCACAGAUCGUCUCCCUUGUGCCCUAGCGCCGUCGUCACGCCGGUUGCCGUGAGCCCUAACUGUGGUCGCAGGAUUUUGCUGAGCCCUCUUCCCCAUCGGCUGAUUGUUGACAUUGUGCCCUAGCAUCGUCGCCACCCUUUUCUGUCCCGGCUCGGCACCACAGUGGCAUUGGGAUUUCACCAGAGGAAGCUUCGGACCUGAUUGGGUUUUAGCCAUUUCUAUUGAGGGUGAUCUAUAGAUUAGGUCACUGAGUUCCGAUCACGAAUUCCUCCGGUCGUGAGCCAUCAAUGAACAUUAUCGAGUUAGGACAUUGAUUUGGGACGAGCACUUUGACGCAGAGGUUGUCUAGCUCGAUCUACAUUGGAGGCGGGUACUAGGUUGUUUAUGGAGUCGCUUGGAGUAUCCUGCCUGCCGGUCCCCAUGUCACAUC